rnacentral:misc_RNA from 1 species
GUGAAUCAUCGAAUUUUUGAACGCACAUUGCACCCUCUUCGGAGAGUACGCCUGUUCGAGGGUCAGCCUAAAUAAAAUCGUCAUAGUCGCUGUCUUGCGGUGACAUCCGUCGGAAAUUGGGUCACCUUAAACCUCUGUGUUUUAAGCGGCUUAAAAUCUUCUUUACGAAACCACGACCGUUCCUACG